GGAGAGGUGGCAGAGUGGUCGAAUGCACCGGACUCGAAAUCCGGCAUAGCCUUAUGGGUUAUCGUGGGUUCAAAUCCCACCCUCUCCGCCA
rnacentral:tRNA from 1 species